CCCAUAUUCACCUGGAUGGAUCAAUCUAUAGUUAACCAGUUGUCCUUCAAAGCCUGUAUGACCUGACACACAAUGAAACAGUCUCGAGGAAAAUUAAAGGCAGACCAACACCCUCGCUGAUAGACAACGUUAACACCAUUCUGCGUCACUGAAAGAGCCAACAGUCUGUGUCUUUGGGAAAACAGCGGCUGAGUGGUGACUCCUAUUCCCUACACUCCUAUUCCCUAUUCACCCACUGCUGAGGCAGAGUGAGAGAGAAGGUAGGUUGGGUAAAAACUGUGAGAGGGAGAAACGGUACCCGGGAUGCCCAGACAGUGCUGAGGUCUUGGGUAUUUUUGUGAGUCCUAAAGUCUCAGAAUUGAAGUUAGCUGCUUCCUGUGGCCUCCUCAGGAAAAGGCGGAGGGGGAAGGGGGGAGGAGGGAGGGGGGAGGGGGAAGUGGGGGAGAACAUCUAAUCAUCCAGCAUUGGACCACAGCGGCUGUGUUCCAGGUGUUAGGAGUAGGGACAGAACAAGCAAUAGCUUCCCAAGCUGAGGAGGGCACAGACUGGGGCAGCAACUGCUUAAAAGAACACGGAAAAAGAUGGCUUCCGCUGCCUAUGCCUGCAGCCCUUGCAUGCAGGAGCGUGAUACAGAAGGCUGACUAGGGCUAUUACUAAGACCCUAUAUAAAAACGGUAAAUAAAGAGGUGGUUUAAAAGGCCAUACAGGAGGGAGAGACUAACGUCGAGGACCAGAGCCAGGUUGAGGAGCUGAGGAGCCAUGGUAAGGAAAGAGCUGCAAGAAAGAAAAAAAAAGCAUAUUUAUCAUCCGGAAUGGCUGUAAUUUGAUUUGAAAGUCUCAGAGAUGACGUGACUCCAGGCUCAGCCUUUGUUGCUCACCAGUUCCAGGUUGUGAAAAGAAAGCGCUGCGGGUCAGCAGAAGAAAGCCAGCGCCAGGCAGUUUUAAUAUACCUGGCAGCUCCCCCUGGCUGGGUUAUAAUAUGGCUCUGAGCAUGCUGCUAAUAGUGUCAGUCACAAAUAAUAAGCUUCUGCAUGGUUUCAGUAUCCGGGUCUCAUCCUGGCUUAUUCUGAGAACAAGGCCAUCUGCCAGCUAGGCAAUGAGUUUCAAAGAGAAGAAGGAAAAACAGAAAAACGGGACUGUCCAAUAUCGCCACCUGCUGACUGCUGUGGAAUUACAGGCCCAUCCCUUCCUAGAAGAACUUCCAGCUGCAAACAAAGACUAAGCUUAAAUAAAGAAGUUUAAACUUACCGUGAGUAGGCUGAUUGAAAUUCUAGACUUUAUAAAUUAGCAAUUACCUUUGCAUUCAUUCUUAUGAUUGUAUAAUGUCGUUAUAUACUGCCCACACUUUCCAGUACUAGAAAAUAUGUAGUAGCCUUACAAGUUAAAACAUUGUUACUUUGGGGGCUGACUAAACAACUCAGUAGUUAAGAGCACUGACUGCUCUUCCAGUGGGCCGGUGUUUGAUUUCCUCAAUCCACGUGGUGUUUUCCAACCAUCUAUAACUUGAGUUUCCAAGGGGGAUCUGACACUUUUUUUUUUUUUUUUGGAUAUUGCACACAUGUGGUACACAGACGUACAUGUAGACAAAACACCCAUAUAGAUAAAACAAAAAUAAAUCCCAUGAAAGCUAUUUUCUCCCUUAUUAAAAAAAUUACUAGGACAUUCUCAGUUGCAAAGAACUUGCAUGCAUCAUGUUACUGGGAAAACUGGGGUUCCCUUCGGGGUUCUCAAUAGAAGAAUUUUGAAAUAGAGUCAGAAGAAGGAAGCCUCUGGACAAUUUGUUUGUAGGCUCUGAGAGGAAAAACAGGAAGCCAGGCAAGCUGUAAUCUUGGCAGUCGAGGAAGCAGGAGAGAGAAAUCUGUGCCUUUUGAGGUAGGGUCCAAGAAGGCUGGCAUGUUCAGCAUCGGAGGCUGGCAGAAGAGGGAGGUCUUCAGAGAAAAGUGAGGAAGCUCAGAGUAUCAGGGUUAGGCUUGAAAAAUAGUUAGGCCUGAGGAAGAAGGAAAUGGAAGGGUAGGAGCUCACAGGGUGGAAGCUCCACAAGGCCCUGCACUGAGGGAAGGGCUUCUGUUAAGUACAGUAUUUUUUAAAGGCUUCCAUAGCUUUAGCAUGCCCUCAGGUGAACCAUGUGUCCCGUGAGGCAGGUGUUUGGCACCACAAGCUAGGUUAAUUCUUGGGGAAGGAGAAAAUGGGUGCAGUGUUCUGAAGUUUGGGCAGAUGGCCACUCAAGGCCAGAGGUGGAUUCCAUUCUUUGGGCUAAGAGGAAGUAGCUUAAUGGUCUCAACAGAACACUGGCACUCCCAUCUGAUAAGUUCAAAUACUACAGGGGCCAGUUUAGAUUCCUCCCUCUCUAGGGCUACCAGGGAAAUGACAGGUGAGGUCCAAAAUCGGCCACAGGGAGGGGCCCAUCCUCAAUGGCUUCUAAGCUCAAGAAGAUCUGCCUGGCUACCUACCUAACAAUACUGAAAGGAAGUCAGUGAGCAUUCGGAGAGUCUCUCAGCUUUCUCCUGAGCUUAAAUCUUGUAGGUGGUAAGCUCAAAGGCUUGUCUGGCUUUGUUCCCAAUCUUUGACAGCCACUCUAGUGAUGGAAUUAACUUCUUCUAUGACUCUGAAGUGUUGUCUAUUCAACCCAAACAUUCUUUGUAGAGGGUUGUGCAGGGUGUGUGAGAGUAGGGAUGGGGGUGGUUGGAACUAGGACUCAGAAUGGUUAUCUCAUUCACACCUGUCACCCUGGGCCAGGAAACAAUCAAGCUGCUGACCUAAGCACUGUUAGAAGGCGGACUUGAACCCACAAAAUUGGAGAUAAGGAAAUUGGUUGCAUUUAGCAUUUCAAAAACAAACAAACAAACAAACAAACAAACAAAACAAAACAAGAAAUUCCUCCAAGCUUUGCUUUGAGACAGAGAAUCCCUAAAUCAUCUAUUAGCAGGAGAACCAGGGAAGAAAACGGAUUUACGGAUUUUAUAUGAGGUGACAGUAACCUUUCAGCUAUUAUUUUGAGGCUACUGAAACAAUUUCUAUGCUGUCAAUUCUGAAGAUCACCCCAUGCAAUCAGUGGCUAAAUUUUGGAGAUUCUCCUUUCAAGAGACCACAGUCAGUUUUCUGUAGUGGAAACAGGAAUUGGCCUUCUCAGUAGGAAGUCAGAUCUAAGACAUGACAUGACAAAGGGGCUGUCGAGCUAAACCUGUCCCUAAGAGCUUGCAUGGUGAGUGGUCAGAGCUAGAAAUCAUGCUAGUGGUCAGAGGUCACCACCUCUCUACACCUCUCACACUGUUCAGGCAACUUGAGCAAAGGAACUGUUUCAGAGAAGUUCAGAGUGCUUGUUCAAAUCAUGCCUUUUUUUCUUCUGUUGGUCUAAAUUUUGUAAAAACUACCCAUGUGCCUUAGAGAUGGGUGGUCCUUUUUUUCUGGCUAGGGAUUUCCAAAUACAUUUUGGAGUGCUAUCAUCAUUUUAUUACUGGCUUUGACAUCAUUUAGAACAUCACAGUAAUGUAACUGGGAUAUGGCACAAUAUUACAGUGAUCAGUAGCUUUUAAGGCCACAGAGGAAUGGGCACCACCUUCCUUCUCCCUGGAGAAGAGUAGGAAAGGAAACUAUCCAACUGCUCUGUUCUUUCUUACACCUCCUGGUCAAAAGGGUGGAAUCUACCUCUGGCUCUGGGUAGAGACACAGUGGUCCACUCUGCUUCAAAGAUGAGAACAUUAUAUACUUCUCUCUAUUUCUUCAGGAGCAAGUCUAGCCGGGCCUGUCAAUCAUCUGGACAGGAGCCCAACCCAGGAAAUCCAAGUCCUAUGCUAAGGUGAUGGGAAGAAAAUUGUCCCUCUCAUUAGAUAAUGCAUUUACUAUUCCCAGGAGUCCCCACUUGUCUGGGCAGCCUCAGUACUUCCCCUACAGAGGGAACUGUUCAACUUGCCUGCUCUCCUGAGUUUCAACUCAGAAGUCCAACUCUCAUUUCUCUCCCUCCCAUUUGCAUUUCACUCAUUGAAUAACUGACCAUUUCUAUUUUCUUCUAUUACCAUUCAGGUCCGACAAAAAGUUGUUUCUUAGCAAAUGUUUAUUGACUGGGCAGAUUACAUAAAAAUGACAUAUCCUAGGUAUCUAUUCACACACACACACACACACACACACACACACACACA